rnacentral:rRNA from 1 species
UACGUAGGGGGCGAGCGUUGUCCGGAUUUAUUGGGCGUAAAGAGCUCGUAGGCGGUUCGGCAAGUCGACGGUGAAAUCUCCACGCUCAACGUGGAGGGGUCCGUCGAUACUGCCGUGACUCGAGUCCGGUAGGGGAGAAUGGAAUUCCCGGUGUAGCGGUGAAAUGCGCAGAGAUCGGGAGGAACACCCGUAGCGAAGGCGGCUUCCUGGCCUGUUCUUGACGCUGAGGCGCGAAAGCUAGGGGAGCAAACGGG